GCGGCGGACGGGUGAGUAAUGCUUAGGAAUCUGCCUAUUAGUGGGGGACAACAUCUCGAAAGGGAUGCUAAUACCGCAUACGUCCUACGGGAGAAAGCAGGGGACCUUCGGGCCUUGCGCUAAUAGAUGAGCCUAAGUCGGAUUAGCUAGUUGGUGGGGUAAAGGCCUACCAAGGCGACGAUCUGUAGCGGGUCUGAGAGGAUGAUCCGCCACACUGGGACUGAGACACGGCCCAGACUCCUACGGGAGGCAGCAGUGGGGAAUAUUGGACAAUGGGGGGAACCCUGAUCCAGCCAUGCCGCGUGUGUGAAGAAGGCCUUUUGGUUGUAAAGCACUUUAAGCGAGGAGGAGGCUACCGAGAUUAAUACUCUUGGAUAGUGGACGUUACUCGCAGAAUAAGCACCGGCUAACUCUGUGCCAGCAGCCGCGGUAAUACAGAGGGUGCAAGCGUUAAUCGGAUUUACUGGGCGUAAAGCGCGCGUAGGUGGCCAAUUAAGUCAAAUGUUGAAAUCCCCGAGCUUAACUUGGGAAUUGCAUUCGAUACUGGUUGGCUAAAGUAUGGGAAANGAUGGUAGAUUCCAGGUGUACUGUUGAAAUGCUAAAAAUCUGGGAGGAAUACCGAUGGCGAAGGCAGCCAUCUGGCCUAAUAUGACACUUAAGUUCGAAAAGCAUGGGGAACAAACAAGGAUAAAUACCCUGGGUAUNCAUGCCGUAAACAUUUCUAUAACCCUUGGGGCCUUGAGGCUUUAAUGGCNCACUAACCCAUANN
rnacentral:rRNA from 1 species